CUGAGAUGGGGUCACCAAGUGUGGUUCUUCUAAGCUGUUUCCUUAUACAAUGCUACGGGUCCACUCAUUUUCAUUACCUAAAGAAAGGGGAGGAGGUAACACUGUCCUGUGAAACAUGUCAAUGGCAGGCUGAUGUGAAUUCAGACAACAAAGUGGACUGCAACAUCAUAGGGAGUAUUUAUACAACGACCUCAAUAUGCCCUACUAGAAGACAGGACCUUUGCCAAGAGAUAAAGAGAAACAAACCCACCUCUUGUGAAAUCCGUGUAAUGAGAGGAUUCUUUGCCUGUGUUAAUGCUACAUCUGACUCCUGCUUCAUGUAUCCAUUCAAACCCUCUUCUCAUCAUGUGGAGUCCUUCAUUGUUGCUCAGGCAGAACCAGACAUUGGGUCUGGACCUGUAAUGGAAAACUCAGUGCUUGUGUCUGGAGGAGAAUCAAUUCAUCUGACGUGCGCUUUUAAAAUAAACAGGAGUUACUAUUUUAAUCCUUUUGUGGUGUACUGGAUCAAGACUGGUGCUCAGAGCAGCACAUGUGUUUAUUCCUUUCAUUACGCUACACAUGAUGAUCAUGGUUUUGAUCACUACUGUGCCAUCGACAAAGAUCUUCUGUUAAGGAGAUCAAACACAUCAAGACCCUCCCUUGGUGACAACAACCAUAACCUGAAGAUCAGCAAAGCCACUCAUUCAGACCGUGGAUUUGUAUUUUAAAAACCUUACCAUGGAUACAACCAUUAUU
ensembl:lncRNA